UACGUAGGGGGCAAGCGUUGUCCGGAUUUAUUGGGCGUAAAGAGCGUGUAGGCGGUCAGGUAGGUCCGUUGUGAAAACUCGAGGCUCAACCUCGAGACGCCGAUGGAAACCAUCUGACUAGAGUCCGGAAGAGGAGAGUGGAAUUCCCGGUGUAGCGGUGAAAUGCGCAGAUAUCGGGAGGAACACCUAUGGCGAAGGCAGCUCGCUGGGACGUUACUGACGCUGAGACGCGAAAGCGUGGGGAGCAAACAGG
rnacentral:rRNA from 1 species